rnacentral:rRNA from 1 species
CACGGGGGGAGCAAGCGUUGUUCGGAAUCACUGGCGUAAAGGGAGUCUAGGCGGUCAGAUAAGUGGAAUGUGAAUCCCUCGGCUUACCCGAGGACCUGCAUCCCAACUGUCUGGCUUGAGGUAUGGGAGAGGAUGAGGGAAUUCCUGGUGUAGCGGUGAAAUGCGUAGAGUAUCAGGAGGAACACCCGGUGGCGAAAGCGCUCAUCUGGCCCAAUACUGACGCUGAAGCUCGAAAGCCUAGGGGAGCAAACGGG